GGAGGGGGAGGGGCGCAUCUGCACCGAAUAGAUAAGCCGCUGAGGGUUAGGGAGACACUUUAGACCUGACUUUGGCGUCCGAGGGGAAGGGUCUUCCAGGAAAAACACAUUCUAAAAUAACACGUGGUAAGGCGGGACUUCCUGUAAAAGAGCACGUGGUAAGGCGGGACUUCCGGUAAAAAAGGGGGCGGGGCCACCUGUCAAAGUUGUGACGUGGCAGCUUCUGAUUGGAAGCUGUCAAUUUUGACGAAAGGUGGUUUAUAUUCCUCUCUGCAAUGGAUUCAAAACUGCGAAACAAAUACUUAGGUCACAAACAAGCCCACUCUAAAUCUGGGAAAUAUCCCCCAAAAAGUCCAACAAAAGACAUCAAACUCAAGAAACCAUGAGGAGAAACACACAAAAAGAGACACUGUAUACAGAAGGUUUCCAACCAGCUUGCAGGAGAAGAUAGCUGUGGUUCAUCAUGUGCUGAAAGCUCCGAGAAUUUGUCAGAAGUUGAAUUAGUCUGACUUUGCCGUUGGUGAGGUGGCAGUUGAAGACUUUCUCUUCAGCUGUCUGGAGACCAAUGGUGAUCAGAUUCCAUGUGGAGGGCCAUCGCCAAGAGAAUGGUCAGGAAAGUGGGAGUGUGACGAGUGUUUCUGGGUGCACUGAGAGAGUGAUUCCACUUCUCUGGAGGCUUGCUUGCUUCAGACUUCAAAGUUUUUGUUUGUUUGUUUGUAGAGCUAUGGGUAGAGCGAUGGCGUUAUGCUCAUGGACGAUUGUUGUGGUUCAUCAGGUGAUCUAAGUUCCAAGAGUUUGUCUGAAGUUGGGUUAACUUAACUUUGUUGUCAGUGCUGUGGCAGGUAAAGUCUUUCUCUUUGCUUUAUGAAGACCUGUGAUGGUCUGGUUGGAGAUUGAAUAUGGCGGGACAUCAGAGAAUAUGUCGGGAGUGAGGGAAAGUGCAAAUCGUUUCUAGAUGCAGCCUUCUGUGGACAAUUGCCUGCUUCAGCAUCAACGCUGAAGCAAGUGGAAGUUGAUGCGUGAUCGAUUGGAUGAGGACUGUCUGAUUCUGAUUAGAGUCGUCUCUUUGGAACAGGUAAUACAGCUAAUAGCAUCUCUGGAGUUAUGCCGGUCGCCUCUUCUCUGAGGGCUUGGUGUGGAUGAGGCUGAUCAGUGUGGAGGAGAUCUGGAGCUGGAUGUUUCCUUAUGUAGGGCUGAUGGAUGAGCAGUUCAUGAUAGACUUUUCUAAAUGUUUCAGACUGGCGGCAUGGCUGAGCGAUUCCAUGUGUUGAUCCAUACGCAAGAAGUGAGAACAAACAAGUGCGAAGGGCAGAGUGCUGUUGAUAGACAUAGAACAGGAAGGGGAGUGAUUGAGGUGUGGUCCUGCUCCUGAACCUCAGCUAAAGAUUUUAUCUCCAUUCAGUCUUUAACCUGGCAUUCAACCAACCCUGACACAGAGUGUCAGCUCAACAUCAAAUGUGACUCAUCUCCAAACAGACGUGGAGAUUCUCCUGUUGGUGUCUCACUUUCAGACCCUUUUCAACCAAUCUCCUGUUGACUAUUUCAUGACAAACUUGGAUAUUUGCAUCCUGUUGCCAUUCUUGUAGCAGCACUUUCUAUCACUUUUAUCUCAUUAAAUUGAAAACAAAAACGCUCAUUCUGAGUUCUGUUUCCCCGUUGAAUAAUUACUCAGUAAUCUUAUAACACAAAUGUAAGUGUUAUGUUGACUAAAAUGGAGCUUUACAGCAAAUCCCCCACGUUUACAAGCAGUAUCCCACACUUGGGCCAACAGUGUAAGUAUCUGGUGAAAGGUAACACUUGUAUUUGUUCUCCACAGUAUUCUCUGGAUGAGUUGGAGGAGAUGAUGUCGAGUCUGCAGCAUUUUCGCUCUGUGCUCAGUAACAUGGAGCUACAACUCUUUGAAGACCAGGCAGCAGUUUACAGCGCCCUCUCUGACAAGGACAGGGAGAAGCUUCAGGACAUACAGGAGCUGAGGCGUGCAGUGAAGCAGCAGGCUGGGGAGCUGGAGCUGCGGUUGAAUGAACUGGCCCAUCAGUAUGAUGACAGUCUGAAACUGAAGAUGCACAGACUACUGGACGAGCAGUCUCUGCUCUGCUCUCAACUCAGAGUUUUUCUACCUGGAACAGUGUCCUCAUCGUUGAGCCCUGCAUCCAACAGGACAGUAGCCACUCAGUGCUGUCUCCUUCCCUGGCUCCCAAUUCAAAGAAGCCACGUCUCUGCCUGGACUGCAAGGAACAUGGAUUUCACCACACAGUCACCUGCUGGAUCAGAGAACAUCUGUGAGGACCAAGUUGGUUCUCCUACUAAGGCAGACAAGCUCAACAUAGUGGGCUUCCUCCAGAGACUGAAGGAGUCCUUUCGUCAUUCUGUGAACACAGAUUCAUUAGAUUAAGAGGUGUCAGGGUUGCUGCGUGAAACUGCCUCUGACCAGCAACAACCUGAAGCUUCCUUCAGUCUUUGAUUCAUUCAAAGCCUUAUGAUGUUAAAUUUCAUAUUUUAAAAAUAUUUCUUUAACGUUUAUGUAACCAGGAAGUCCCUUGAGAUUACAAUCUUUUUUCGAGGGAGACCAAGAAAACACACUCUCCAACGUAGUGAACUACAGGCUUGAUGAUGUUAAGUUGUUGAUGAACUUGAAGAUGUUGAUGUUGCAGCUAACGGGCACCAGCAGUCAACAACACUGCCUUGGAGUUGGCUGUUACACUGUAGUCUUUGUCAACCACAAUCUUGUGUGUCUUGAGGAAGAGUGAGUCGUGCUGCAGGUCUAUGGUCUUACCCUUCAGAGAUGGUGUCCUCCAGCUCCACCAACCCAUGAAGAAGAACCAUCUGAAGAAACCAACAGGAGCAGAAGAACCGAGACAACGGCAGGAAGUCGUGGAGCAACCAUCGUCAGAAGACUUUAGCUUCCGACUCACAAACAGCAUUUGUUCUUCCAGCGUGCAGGGAUGUCCAGCACAGUUCCCACAGCUACAACAGAGAGCAGCUUUAAUGGUUGUAACUCUGGCUACAUGCAGCUGGAAACACCCAAAACACCACAGAUUGAACCGCAGCAGCUGAAAUCAAAUCAAAUCAAACUUUAUUUAUAGAGCACUUUUUCAUGCAAUUAAAAUGCAGCACAAAGUGCUAUACAUGUUAAAAACAGUCCCCUCCCCCCGCCCCAUCUCCAACCCCAACACAUACACACACACAUACACACACACACACACACACACACACACACACACACAGACACACACAGAUGAAGUAAUCUUAAAAGCGCGUGGCUGAGUACAGAGGAGCCAGGUCAGUAACCGUAGGGGGCCGACUACACGGGGCGCCGCCCACAGCACAGGGCCAGAUGCCUCCGCCCGGACAUGCCCCGCCACAAGGACAGUGAGGGGCCCACACAGCAAAACAGUCUGUAGACCCCUGCUUGGUCAAGAAGAUGCCAGCCACAAGACGGAGACAUCCCAACCAGGGCCAAUUGCAGCCCCCAGUGCAGCCGGCCCCCACUGAGGAAACACUGGAGAUAUGGAAUAAAAACAUAAAACUACAAAGUCUAAGAACAUAAAACUUAAUAAAUAACUAAAGUUAAAUAAAAUAUGAAAUAAAAUAUAAAGUAAAGUACUAACAAGUGGCUAAAAUAUGAUUUAAAAGUAAUAAAAUAAAAAUAAGUAAAGAGAGGGCUACGAUUCAUAAAUAAAUAAAAUUAAAUUAAAAAUAUUAAUAAAAAUAAGACAUUAGUUAAAAGCCAAAUUAAAUAGGCGGGUCUUGAGCCUACUUCUAAAAAUAUGAACAUUCUCUGCGGCCCUCAGGUCCUCUGGCAGGCUGUUCCACAGACGGGGGCCAUAGUGCUGGAAAGAUGCCUCACCGUAAGUCCGUGUUCUAGCUUUGGGAACCAUUAAGAGGCCGCUGCCAGAGGACCUCAGGGUCCGCAAGGGCUCAUAUGAUAAAAGCAAUUCUGAGAGAUAAGAAGGUCCAAGACCCCUAAGACAUUUAAAAACCAUUAAAAGGACCUUGAAAUCAAUCCUAAAGCACACAGGGAGCCAAUGCAGUGAUUUUAAAACCAGUGUAAUAUGUGCCCGCCUUCUGGUCUUCGUCAGCACACGUGCCGCGGAGUUCUGUAGCAGUUGUAAACUUGAAAUGUUUCUUUUUGGAAGACCAGAAAGCAGGGCGUUACAAUAGUCAAUACGACUGGAGAUAAAAGCAUGCAUCAGCGUCUCUGUGUUUGCCCGGGAGAGAAAGGGGCGGACUCUGGCGAUGUUCUUUAAAUGAUAAAACCCUGUUUUCGUUACGUUUUUAAUAUGUGGAAUAAAGUUGAGUUCAGAGUCAAAAAUGACGCCCAGAUUCUUCACCUGAUUGGAUGGAAUUAAAGACAGGGUUUGGAGUUUUGAUAAAAGUUUCUCUCCCUGAGCCUUAGGAUCAAUAAUUAAAACCUCAGUCUUGCCCUGGUUGAGCUGUAGGAAAUUUUCUGCCAUCCAGGAUUUGAUGUCUAAAAUACAGUUAAAAAGGGCAUCAAUCGGCCCUGUGUCAUCAGGAGACAUGGAGAUGUACA